rnacentral:lncRNA from 1 species
AAACACCCCGUACACUAAGUCCACACUAGCGCGUCACAAAGUUAAUGGGACCUCAGACCUGCCAUUAACUUUCAAACCUAGCACGAACUAUUUGGCGGGCAACUUUUAGGAGCUGGUUUGUGCCUUCUGAUCACAGACUUUAAAUCUGAGCAGCUUUUUUUCUGGAUAUUCUGCCGUCGUCAAGCCUGCUGGGGCUGAUAAGCAGCAACAAUGCACCGGCGUAGCCCGUGAGGGCUUCCAGGAAAAGCCUACGAUCCAUAUUUUCCUUACAGACCUUGACAAUUAGCAGCAAUUAAUACCUGGCACUAAAACAUUCAAAUUACGAAUACCAUCUUGGUUUCGGCGCUCUCUAGUGCAGCUAGUGGAAACGCCGUCACACUAGCACUACACUAAGUCCACACUAGCCCAUAGUGUACCGAACAUAGUGUGCGCUCAAGCGGAAACACCCUGUAAGGGCCGGGCUCCAUUGACUUGUUUGUUGGCGUCUUUUCAAAUUUUCGCGCGCGACACAUCGCCUUUUCACGCUUUUCUUUUCAAUGUUGCAUUAUCUAUAAAAAGAAAUUAUAGAUGUUAAAAGAGGACGAAGGAAGCUGUGGCGACAGCGAAGAACGGAGGGCCCGUGUGGAAACGGCCGUUUCCACACGGAAACGCCCGCGGGCCCUCGUUAGGCCCAGGGAUCUAGCCGAAACGUGACCAGGUUUGCGGAAACAUUUUGUAUUUGCGGAAACGCUGCGGAAAUUUGCGAAAACUAUAGAUUGUCUAUAUAAAGCUAUUUUUUGCUCUUUGCAGUGUUGCGAUAAUAUGGACAAUCUCAAACGCGCUCUUGGCAAUGCGGUUCAGUCUCGUGGGAUCUGCAAGCAUUCCGUCUCUCUUCGAGCCCCAAUCCCCCAGGCCAGAGCACCCUUAUCGUAGACCUCCCCCAUAGUGCUUGAUUUUGACGGACUCGAUUGGUACGCUCGGAUCGGGUCACUCCGAUGUUGUUUGCAGGUUGCAGAGCAGUCCUUGCUCUUGUCAUAAUGUCUUCUAAUCUAUCAACAUGUUUCCAAACGUUGGUAGCAGGCCUUCCACCCUCUUUGAGCUGAAACACAGUCGAUCUCUCGAAUGUCGUCAGCCCCAAGGUCGGGGGCAGUGAUUGUAGACAUUUACACUAAAGUAUUAUCAAUUGUGAAGUAAACGCACGUACAUAUAUGGCAAACGCAGGCGUAGAAUAUGUUUUGACUUUCCGCCGUACUGCAAACUAUUUCUCUUUCCGCACUUUCUUCGUUCUAGGCCCUAUGAGGAAAGCGGGAAGAAACCUAUUUCCGCAGAUCCCUGGUUAGGCCUCCAAUAACUCUAUAAAUUUUAUCGGCACUUCGGACCAGCCCAUAAACUUUCACAAAGCCAAUAAACGUUGGCGCGAAAAUUUCUUUGCUCUGUUUUGAAAUCGGCUUACGCCCAGUCCCCUUUUGAUAUCUAGGCUACGCUUUGGACUGCUCGCCAGCCAAAGCCGUUGACUUUCGAGAUGUCGAGAUGUCGACAUGUCGCAGAACAACCUGCCGUCCCAGUUUCCCACCGCAACUUUGCCCACGCAACUUCACAGUAUCCUUCAGUCUACAAUGGCGCUGUAAUGUUAUGAAGUUAGUUAACGAGCGUUUGAAACGCGUGUGAGACCAUGUCGUAACUUCGGAGCUAGCUAAUGUUGGGAAGUUAGUGUGCGGCCAAGUGAAACACCCUGUAAGCCAUGUGUACCCGCCAUGUGUACCCGCCUACUACGCCUACUUCAGAUUAUAGCCCGUAGCCAUGAUCGGGCAUAUGCGUAGUAUUGAUCGUGAAUGGGCAUGCAUGCGACUUCGUAAGGCGGAAUGGGCGGCGGCCGUGCGUUAGCCAUCUUAAUAGCAGCAGAACUAUUACUAGAAAUAUAUGCCCCUGGUUUCUCUAGUUCCCCUACUGAAUAUCAAGUCUUCCAAUAUUUUAUCUGAAUCUUUCGCCUGUGAGCCAUUUCAUGCAUAGGAUGCGCUCAUGUGUGUGAUAUGCGGCAUGACGUCAACGUCCCUACCUAUUACACGAAAGUGGUGAGCAAACCUACGUAGAGACCUCGCAUUACUAGGGCACAGGUUCUGUACAUAAUGGAUGUCACCUGUGCCUGGUGGGGAUAGGGCUAGAGGCUGCAUGGAAGCAUCCUUAUCCACAUAGAUCGACUGCAUGCUUCAUCAACCACAGGAGUUGUUCAUGGCCGUAGGGCCUGGCUUGCUUGUCGUGUUUCAUUUCCGUCUUUGCCUGAAAGCACGGAUUCAUCCUUUAGCUUACCUCCACCCCUUCACGUGCCGGGGUGUGUCUACAACUAUACAGCGAUUUGUUUUGAACCAUUUGCGCGAGAGGGUGGCAGAGCGGUCAGGAUGCGGCGGAGGAUCGGGCACAGAAUACGGAUGGGAAAGACUAGGAUAUGGCGUGAGAAGAUGUAUCUUUGCGCCUUUCAUGUCUCGGGGUUCUCGUCAUAGUUGCUGCCUUGGUCGCCUGUAAGGAGGUGUUUCCACUUGGAGUAAAAGAUAUCGGAUAAUGGGUUAAAUGGAAAUGUCCCGGGGAUUUUUGCGCACGGAUUAGGAGGACCAAUGAUGGCAGGCUUAUUGACAGUUGUAUGUACGCCCGCAUACGACCUUUUCGCGGAACAGGGUGUUUCCACUUGGCCGCACACUAACAUUAAGUUCAAAAAAUCUCACACCUGGCUCAGCAAAUCACCCAAGCGAUGAGAAACUAGUUAAACACAUUAAUAGAAACUAAAAGUUCUCCAAAAAAUCAAAUUGCCCACAUUCCAGCAAAUUUCAAAUACCAACUUGUGAAUCGCGGAUUACUACGGGGAUCCAGGGGGAUCUGUUGUUGACUUCCGGCCAGAACACUAACGGCUGUACGACAGAUAAGAUGGAAUGUUUGGUAUAAAGGAGAUGAUGUUCUGACUGAAAGCUUGUUCUGUGAUACCUGUAACGGUUAAGGUUGGCUUUACCUACACAGUUCCACUCGCCUAUAUCUUAACAGGUUAUGAGCCCCGCGCCGCCGCGGCAAGCGAGCGAGCGUUUUGCUUAAGUACUGUGUCCGAACUUGCUGGCUUAGCAACUCUCUGGCUUAGAGAUAGGACAAGUAUGGGGAAGGAUAAUGAUGUAGAGCGAUUAGAUAGCUACGCCAACUAUUUUCGCUGGCGGACGGCCAUGA